CUCUCUACCACACCUCGUCCAGAGCAGAGGAACAGAAAGCCCCCUGCCCAGCCCAGGGAUAGCCAGACCGCUGAGAGGAUGAAACUCUGACAAGCCGACAGACCGCAGGGAAACGAGCACAACUGCCCACAGAUAAUUGGUUGAAGGGAGAGUCCAGGAAGGUCAGCCAAGAAAGCAGCCGUAGGUGCCAGCGUGAAAUCUACAGGAACUACAAUUACUUCAACAGUGAGCCGCUGGAACAAGGUGAAUGACAGACGCUGCUUCACACAGAGUAAUGCUGAGACUGGCUUAGGCUUGCAGCACCACUGAAGACUUACACGGCUCUAGACAAUGACUAUUAGCCCCAAGGCCAGCGAACAGUGAUCAACUGACCUCUGAGACAGGUUGUAUCUGACAGAGAGAGGACCACCGCCACGCUCCAGCCCCGCUCCAACCCACUGGUUCGUUAGUAUCAACAGUGAGUGAAUCACCCAGCUUUGGCCCGUCCGGCGUUACCUGUACAUGGAGACCCCCAGCUGGGCAGGAAACACCUUGUGUAAAUCAGGAAGCAUUGCUGUCUUCGGGAACGUGGUGUACAGCGGGCUGCUCAACGAGCACCUCUGGCAUUUAGGAGUUCCCCUCUUCACGAGAC